rnacentral:rRNA from 1 species
GACGGAAGGUGCAAGCGUUGCUCGGAAUCACUGGGCGUAAAGGGUGCGUAGGCGGCCGUGCAAGUCUGGCGUGAAAGCCCCGGGCUCAGCCCGGGAAGUGCGCUCGAAACUGCGCGGCUCGAGUGCCGGAGGGGAGAGUGGAAUUCCUGGUGUAGCGGUGAAAUGCGUAGAUAUCAGGAGGAACACCGAUGGCGAAGGCAGUUCUCUGGGCCGUAACUGACGCUGAGGAGCGAAAGCGUGGGGAGCGAACAGG